AUCGCUUGCAAGUUAAGCAUGCAAUAAAAAUAUUCUGUUCUUAUAAGCUUAAUAUCUGAUACGGGUCCUAUUUGGACCCAAGAUAUUAAAGUCAUUUUUGGAAUUGGGUGGAGUGCCUGAAGCGUGCUUCACCUCCGCCACGGGUUGGCCCGGUAUUGCACUGCCUCCGGGAUCGGCCCACUCACC
rnacentral:snRNA from 1 species